UUGCAUUUACCUUUGGUGCCUUCAUUAAUUUUUCUUGAGUAUAGUAGUUGCCAGGUCGUUAGUAUGGCUAACUUGGCUACAGGUCACAAAAGUUUUUUUGCGGGAGAGUUUCUGAACUAGAUAGGCACGUUUAGUUUACUUCUAGGCUUUUAACUAAUAUUUCUAGGAUUAUCUUGAGUAAAUAUUAGUUAAAAUCCGAGAAGUUUAGUUUUCUAGACCAUAUUUGGUUGCAGCGUG
rnacentral:lncRNA from 1 species